ensembl:lncRNA novel transcript
AGGCCAGCCACUCAGGAUGGGGCCCUGUGCCCUGCUCACAUGGGCUGUGCUGGUCUUCAAACCGGCCUGAGGGUCAGCAGAACAUUUGCAGGUGGAGAUGGAAGGAGAAACAGCAUCCGGUCAGCACAAACCGUAAACAGCAGGUGCUCGGGUGUGGAGCUGGAGCCAUGUGUCUCUGUGGGGAGGAACAGGGGUUUGAGGGGAACAUGGGGACUGGGGCUCAAGGCACCUGGAUUUAAUCUUAGAGACGAAGGGGUGGGGAGGGAGUGCCCACGUGGGAUCUGAGAGGAGACUCGCUGGCAGAGACUGGGCAGAUGUGAGCCCUCCCUGCGAUGGUCAGCCCUGCUCCUGAUGGCCAUGGAAGGAACAUUUUUCUCCACCCCACUAAGGUGGGCUUUGACCACGUGGACGCUGGUGGAUGUCCGCAGGCCCUGCAAUGUGUUCCAGGGAAUCGGCUUCAGGAAAAACAUGCCUGGAGCUCAGCAGAGUGAGGGGCACACAGAGCAGACCUGACUUGAGCCUCAGCCUGGACCCCCACCUGACACUCAGAGCCCUGGGGAGAGAGGCCGUGGAACCGCCCGGCAGCAUCACUGCCUCAGCACCUGCCAAGAUGGAAAUGGGCACGUUCAGGUCAGAUAGGAGGCUGGGGCACACUCCUCCCUCGCCCCCGACCACCCACCCUCCAAGCCUUAGUUUAGAUGUUCCCUCCUCAGAUCAGCAUUCUCUGCCCUGAGCCACGGUGGCGCCUCACUCCGGGGCCUGCGUGCCUCCUGCCUGUCUGAGUCCAACCUCAGCUUCCCAGCCAGCAGCUCAGGAACCCACAAGGUCGUGCAGCUGCCGAGCCGAAAAACGAAUGAGCAGCUCUCGCGUGCAGGUCGGCUGGGUGGGUGUACGGCUUCAUGGCGAGGCAUCUGGAGUGAGGGAGGCUUGCUUCUCCUGCGGGGCCCUUGCUUUGUGUGUCUGGACAGGCGCCGUCCUCGUGGCUGCCUGGGACUGGGGCCUCUCUCCAUCAUCACAGUCCAGGAAGAGGGGUGGCCAGUCCUAGAGCUUGAGCUGAGCUGCCCUUGGUGGCUGUGGAGAUGAGGAACUGAUGUUGAUGGUGCAGUCGGGAAGGGAGAUGUGACGGAUGAAAAGGAGACCCCGAUUUAGCAGGAAGUGUGGAAUUCUGUGAUCCUGUGCUGCUGGUCCCUGCAGAGGUUUUGGCAGUCCCCAGACACUGCUGUCUUGAGAGGAAGAGGAGUCCAGGCAGCCACAGCAGAACGCUGACCCCUCACUGGUCUGCUGACUCCUCACUGGUCUGCUGACCACACAGCACGGCCUUGGUCUCCAGGCUGGCCCCCUGGAGUCCUCAACCAGCCCCAGAGGGAAAGGAGGUUUGCCAGAGGGACCUUGCAGCCACACGUGUGGCCCCAGGAUGGCAAGGACAAGGCCCCUGGCGAGGUGGUGCUCAUUCCAUAAGGAGUGGUUAGAGUCACUCAGCAAAUCCAUCCCACGCCUGCCACGGGCUUCCCCCUCCCCUGGGCACCACCGGCCACCCUAAGCUCAGAGACGUGGUGGAACCCCUCCCGUGUGGCGUGGUGCCGAGACUGAGGGAUGUGCAAGCUGUGAGGAGCAUGUGGCCACAGCCAGGUCUGAAAGACAGCACUCCGAACCAAGCAGAUCGUGUGAAACUGCAGGCCGAUGUGAUACGGAGACCAGGGUGCAACUUGCUCUGUUUUCAAGAGGAGAGACUUUGGAGAACUGUUAUAAAAAAUGGUUGCUGUGUCUGCAGGCUCACACGGGAACUCUGCUGUAAAUAUUUCUGUGCCAAGGCAGCACAGUGUUGCAUGGGGGCCUGAGGGCCUGUGGGUUUGAUUCAUCCUUUCUAGGAUGUCUGCAACAUUUCUUGGAUGUGAAAGUUUGUUCUGAGCACGACAGUUGGAAAAUCACCGUCCGUGUCCUCUGAGCUAGGACUCACCUGCUGCAGGGAAGGAGCUUUGCUUAGCAGACCACGUCACACUCCCAGGAUGAUGAAGAGGGGAUCUCCUGCAGGGUCCUGGGGACAAACCCUGCUGGCAUCUGGCCAUGGGGGAAAGAGCAUCCGGAGUGAAGGGGACGACAAUAGUCACCACAGUGGCUGGAGAUGAGCCCACACGGUCGUCUUCCCCAGCGGAGACGUUCCCUCCCGUAGGAGGGUGGGUCAGAGGAUACAGAAGGCGCCGGCAGUGACCAGGAGCAAUGUGCAGCCUCCUCUCCCCCAGCUCCUGGAAGCAGAUUCCGUCCGGGCACAGGAAGCUUUCCCGGUAAUUGGCUAACGCGCCACAUGACUGCUGUCUGCCAGGCUCUAGGAGGUGAGAAUUCCUCCUCAAAUUAACCUCAUACCCAGAAACCCAUCAUCGCCACUUACCAGGAUGGGAAAGCACAGUGUCCUCUAAAGAAACUUACAUUCAAGCUGAUGAUCAUACUCAGACAGCUAAUUAAGAGCUAAUUAUUCAAAUGACGGAUCAAAGAACCGUGCAUGCACCCAGCUUUCCCCGGAGACUCGGGUCCCCUGGCACUUGCAUCCUGAGUCGGGGAAGAAUCCUCAGCCACAUAAGUGAGGACACAUGUUUGCCAAGAAACCUCAAGUCUACAUUCAUAGCGGUGUCUACUCAGAGGACACAGGAAAACACACACACACACACACACACACACACACACACACACACACCCGGGAGUCCUUGCAAAUGGUCCCAGGCUUCAUGAGAAGUCCGUGCUGGUGACAGUUGGAACGUGUUACUCUGGGGAUAGCCUAAUCACUACGAAAUUAAUUUUCUGAGCUCCUGAGAAACUUGCCUUCCUAAAAACCAAGAUGGAUGCAAAUGAACAAGGACUGAGCAGCCCGAAGCGGGUCCAUGGGGGUGGCAGCGGCACCCCUAACUCUGGCCGGGUGAGGGGCCCCGUCCAGGCAGCCUCAGUCCAGGCUCUAAGCAAACGCCGUGGCCCACAGGUGCUGCUUCUGGGAUGGCGUCGGGACACUCCUGCGGGGGUAGCAGAGAGCUCGGCCCACCGACUAGCCGCUCUGCCCGCUGACCUGAGUGCUUCUCCGACCUCCGCAGUGGACGUUCACCUCUAAACCUUCCUUCAUGUAAAUGUUUGGUUCCCAUAGCUGAGGCAAAUGCCCUUGAAAAUGCUUCCAUCAGGAAACAUUCAGACACCUAAAUAUAUACUUUGUAUCAAGUUUAAUGAA